AGCUGUGGUGGAUUUCUGCUCUGAUCUUCAUUGUUCUUCUGGUUGUGGUCUGUUUCAUUCUGCGUAAAAGGAACUUCAGGUGUUUUUUGAAGGCAGUGCCGUCUGUCUGUCAGCGUGAGGAUGAUCCAGAAAACAGGAGAGUGAAUCAGACUGACAGACAGAAAGAGUUGAAGGAUCCAGAAUCUGGUGCCCAAAUGCAGCUCAGAUCGGAUGAAUCUGAUUCACUG